GGGCCAUCCUCCACUGCACUCCCUGGCCACAGCAGAGAGCUGGCCUGGAAGAGGGGCAACCGGGACAGAAUCCGGCGCCCCAACCGGGACUAGAACCCGGUGUGCCAGCGCCGCAAGGCGGAGGAUUAGCCUAGUGAGCUGUGGCGCCGGCCUGUUUUUGUUUUGCGUGUUUUUUCCAAGAUCUCUCGGGUGGUUUUUAGGGACCUGAAAGGGUGAGGAGCUGCUUGAAGUCCUCCCUCUUUUCUCAAGGAGACCCCGCUGUUUGUUCCCAGAUGCGUCACUGAGGAAAUGCAAGCCUCACCUGCCAAGAAGGGACGGAAGGAGAGACCAGAAGGAAGCUGAAAUGAAAACCGGCACAUUUGGGAAUCGAAUCUAAUUGUUCAGACCCAAGAAAAGCAGGAUGGAAGUCAAUGUCAUCUAUGGCCACGCGUUUGCGGCCGGCAGCACCCCCACUUCUGCACUAGUGCUUGCGUCCACGUUGCGCCUCCGGCUUAGGACAGAACCACAGUGUGUCGCACUGAUCUGUGAUCCGUAACUCCUCGUGUUCUGAGUCAUCUCCCCUACGCGAGCUUGCAGGUAAAAGCCAUGCAGGCAGGUGGCUUCUCCCUGGCAGAGGGCGGUGUGGGUGCAUGGUUUGGAGACGGGAGACAGAGACACAAGCGUGUGGCAUCCCUCACGUGCAUCCAGGUCACAUUUUGGUGAGGUCAAGAACCACGAGAAGGGGGCUGGUGCCAUGGUGUAAUGGGCUAAGUCUCCAUCUGCCUCCCAUGUGGGCGCUAGUUCAAGUCCCAGCUGCUCCUCUUCCGAUCCAGCUCCCUGCUAAUGUACCUGGAAAAGCAGGAGAAGAUGGCCCAAGUCCUUGGGCCCCUGCACCCACGUGGGAGACCCGAAGGAAGCUCCUGGCUCCUGGCUUUAGAUCAGCCCAGCUCCGGCUGUUGUGGCUGUUUGGGGAUUGAACCAGUGGAUGAAAGACCUCUCUCUCUCUCUCUCUCUCUCUCUCUCUCUCUCUGUAACUCUACCUCUCAAAUAAACAAAUGAAAUCUUAGAAGCAGCAGAAGGAGGGGAGGACAAGGGGAAGGAGGAGGAGGAGGGGGAGGGAGGAAGGGGAAGAGGAGGACGACCAUGAGAACUGGGGUGGACGAGGGAAGCCACAGCUCCGGCCCAGCUGCAGAACUGCGUCACUGGCCUGGAAGCUUAGCGACAAGGCAAGGAGGAGAGCAGCCUGUGUAAGGGAUCUGGUGGCCCUGGCAGCUGGGAGCCACCACACCUCGGGCCACCCCGUGUCCUGCAAAGCCUUAACAACCCUUUGGAAACUGAAGAAAUAGAUCCCGCAGGGAGUCCCCGUGGUGUCAGGUCCCUGGGCUGUGGUUUCCACGGUCACCCAGGGGCGUGAGCCAGCCAGAGGGAGCAGGAGUCCUUAAAGAGACCCGAGCACUCGGCGCCCAGCGAUCCCUUCUGUGUGCCAGGCUGGGCCCGCGCGGACCUGGGAAAAGCCCGUUUCUUCACCAUGGCGUCCCUGCCGUGGGGAUCCUCUUGUUGGGUCUCUGUUUCCUUGGGCUUCUGUAACAAAGGACCACAGGCCGAGGGGCGCAGGGAGAGGGAAUUUAGGGGCAGGCGUUUGGCCGAGCAGCGUCCCCCAUCCGAGAGCCUGGGUGCAGUGCCCAGCUCUGCUGCUGGCUCCCUGCUGAUGCCCACGCCAGGCGGCAGCAGGUGUUGCUGUAGGUGGUUGGGUCCCAGCUCCUGGCUUCAGCCUGGCCCAGUCUCAGCGGUUGUGAGCCUCUGGGGAGUGAUCCAGGGGUGGGAGCUCUCUGUCUCUCUCUUCCUCUCUGCCUUUCAAACAAAAUGGAAAAAAAAAAAAAAAAACUCUGAGAGUUUUAAAAAUCAUUUCUAGAUUUUAGUACCUAAUACCAUAAAUGCCACAGAUGUGGUUGUUAAACUCUAUGGUAGGGGCCAGUGUUGUGGCACAGCAGGUAAAGUCGCCACCUGUAGUGCCGGCAUCCCAUAUGGGCGCCAGUUCGAGACCCGACUGCUCCACUUCCAAUCCGGCUUUCUGCUAUGACCUGGGAAGGCAGUGGAAGAUGGUCCAAGUGCUUGGGACCCUACAUUCACAUGGGAGACCUGGAUGGAGAGCCUGGCUCCUGACUUUGGCCCAGCUUGGCUGUCAUCGCCAUCCGGGAGUGAAGUAGCAGAUUCAAGAUCUCUCUCUCUCUCUCUCUCUCUCUCUCUCUCUCUCUCUCUCUUCCCUCCACUCCUGUCUCUGUAACUCUGCCUUCUCAUACAUAAAUCUUUCUAAAAAUUAAAAAAAGUGAAGGGCCCAUGUUGUAAAGCCGUGGUGCUCCACGUGGGUGCCAGUUCUCGUCCCGGCUGCUCCACUUCCGAUCCAGCUCCCUGCCAGGGCACCUGGGAAAGUGGCAGCCGAAGGUCCAAGUGCUUUCACGCUGCCGCCCACGUGGGAAGCCCGGAGACCGGGCUGGAGCUCCUGGCUCCUGGCUGCAGCCUGGCCCAGCCCCAGCGGUGACAGGCAUUUGGGGACUGAACCAGCGGAGGGAAGAGCUCUUUCUCCCUCUGAUGCUUUUUCAAAUAAGUAAAUAAAUAAAACAACAGCAGAUGCACACCAGCUUCCAACUCCUUUUUUUAUUUAAAGACUUCAGAUUUUAGAUGUAGAAUAAUUCUUUUCUUAUAUUUUUAAUUUCUCUAAGAUCUUUUAAUUGAAAGUCAGAGUUACAGAGAGACAUAGAAAGAAAAGUCUUCCAUCCACUGGUUCACUCCUCAGGUGGCCGCUAUGGCCAGAACUGUGCCGAGCUGAAGCCAGGAGCUGGAAGCUUCUUCCAGGUCUCCCAUGCAGGUGCAGGGGCCCAAGGACUUGGGCCUCUUCUACUGCUUUCCCAGGCCACAGCAGAGAGCUGGAUCGGAAGUGGAGCAGCCGGGACUUGAACCAGCGCCCAUAUGGGAUGCCAGCACUGCAGGUGGCGGCUUUACUGGCUACACCACAGCACCGGUCCCCAUACUCCUUUUUAUGUAUGUAAGUGUGAUGAUUGGCUUUGCACCCCACUGUGUGAGAUGUGCCCCCUCCAAUCCUGGUAGACGUUGGCAUGUCACCUGUCUGAUGGGAACGUAGGGGGAAAAGGAACCAUCAGCUUCCAAAAUCCAUGCACGUAAUAAAAUGUCUGCCAGUUUGUGGCGAUUUUUCUAAUUCCCUCCCAUUUAGUUUUCAUUGUAAAGGCAGUGGCAGCAAUGAGAAAUAGCGUACACUAUAUUUGCUCAACGCCAGAACAGCAGAACUAGCAACAGAGGGGCCAGAGCUGUGGCGCAGUGGGCUGGGCUCUGCCUGCAAUGCCGGCGCCCACGUGGGCGCUGAUUCAAGUCCCGGCUGCUCAACUCCCUGCCUGUGCACCUGGGAGAGCCGUGCGAGAGGCCCACGUGCUUGGGUCCCUGCCACACCUGUAGGAGACCUGCAUGGAGCACCAGGCUCCUGGCUUCGGCCUGGCCCAGCCCUGGUUUUGCUGGCCAUUUGGGGAGUGAACCCGUGGAUGGAAAAAUCUCUCUAUGUCUCUCCCUCUUUCUCACCUCUGUAACUCUGCCUUUCAAAGAAACAAUAAAUAUUAAAACCUAAAAUUAGCAACAGAGCAGAGGGCAGGAGAUCCAAGUUCUGUUUCUGUUGCUGCGAUUGGUUUA